UACAGAGGUCUCAAGCGUUGUUCGGAUUCAUUGGGCGUAAAGGGCGCGUAGGCUGCGGGGCAAGUCGGGUGUGAAAUCUCAGAGCUCAACUCUGAAACUGCACUCGAUACUGCUUUGCUUAGGACUGGAGAGGAGAUUGGAAUUCACGGUGUAGCAGUGAAAUGCGUAGAUAUCGUGAGGAAGACCAGUGGCGAAGGCGGAUCUCUGGACAGUUCCUGACGCUGAGGCGCGAAGGCCAGGGGAGCAAACGGG
rnacentral:rRNA from 1 species